rnacentral:lncRNA from 1 species
UGACCCAGAAGUGGAGCAUUGCAGAGGUAAGAGCAUGGGCAGGAGAAAAUCAGUAAGAUGUUUCCUGUAAAAGCCUUUUGCCAGACAAGAGGAAUCAUUACCACGAUGAUACUUCUAAUUAUAAUGUCAUUAGGGCACCACUGCAGGUUCCUAUGGCGCAUGAAGUUUUUCAGCAUCUUGAUCCAAAAUGGGCAAAAUGUAGGCAUUAACCCUUUCACUGGAAGUAGACUUGAAUAUCUAGGCAAGCUGAAAGAACACAACUUAUUUUGAAGUUAAGUCAUAGUAUUGCUGAGAGUUCUGGAAAAUUUAGCAGUUGUAAAGAAUACUGAAGAGUAAUUCCCCUGAUCCUUCUGCAUUCAUGCCAGAUGUCACAGAUGGACAAUUGAUGAUAUGUGUUUCUCAAGACACCAAAAAGGUAAAGAUAAUGUACUUUGUUGCUGAUCUAAUUUUUGUCUGACUGGAAAACAGGACGCGAAGUUUCUGGCACAAAGUUGUUGCCCAAACCUUUGAAGAAUAGCCAAGAGCAGAUAACAAACAGGCCUACAGACAAUAUUGCUCAAAGUCACAUUCAACUCCUUAAGCAGCUGUUCAAUCUGUGAAGUGAAAAAUUCUUCUAUUUUUGUGUAAUUUUCAAACUGCUGAUGAUACUAUAACAUAUUCUCUCGGCUUUUCUCUUUGUUUAGGCAGCCUGGAUUUAUACCUUCAAAUCUUGGCUCUAGGAUGGUUCCAAAAGCACAAUCAUGCAUGCAGAUACCACCAAACGUGUCAAAAAUGUUAUGCUAUUAAAUGCUAUGAUAAAACCUUCUACUUAGUGCUACAGUGCUUCUAGAAUUUGUCUUACAGGUCCAAGUUGAUCUUGCCUGUAACUGACCUGUAAAGGAACAUUUCCUGGCUUUGCACAGUGCUGACACUGUGUUCGUGUUGCUCUGGACUGAGUCUAGCUCCUGGUUUGCUCUUCAGGAGUCAGACAGUUAAACCACAAGCCAACUCUGCCACUCUGGAACAAAAUAACAUCCUCUUCAGUGUUUCAGGAUUUACAGAAUGUUAAAUGGGCACAGCGUUCCCCCAGAAUCCCAACCCAGUAGGGUGUUCCCAGGCAGGGGCUACUCCAAGCUUAGGCGUGCAUAGGAGAUCCCAGAUUAGAAGCCUACUGCCAGAGAUACCUUGAGGAAGGGGAUUUUGAGCACUGCGUUAUGCCUUAUGCAGACAGCGUGAAUGAUGGGAUGUCCAGUUUUCCAAUGGACAAAAUUGCACAGGGCAGGUUGAUCAGAGUAACAGAUACCAUGACAACCAAAUAUGUUCAAAGCAAAAGGACAAAAGACAAGAGAGGAAUUUUAAAGGGGGAGGAGGCAGCAAUAACAUUAUUAAUAUAUCCCUGUGUUCUGAAGGAGUGGCUUUUUUUGUGAAACUCAGCAAGUUGUGACCCUGAGCAGUGCCACUGCCGUAGCGCAAUCUGCGUGGUACAAAGUUGGGAUGUGGCAUGAAGAUUUUGUGAAUUCCAGAAGCUCCUCUUUGAUGACUAAGUAGUUAUUAGCUCUUUGAGACUGAGUACCAUUUGGGUAAUUGGCAAGUGGACUGUGACCUGAAGGACUGAUAAACUGGAGGGAAAUCAUUCAAAAUUCUUUUCAGUUUUCCUCCAUACUGCUUUUGUUUCAUGUUCAGACAACUCAAUCUAAAACAUGAAACGUUAUUUUCAGAAGAGCAAUCAUAAUUGGCAUAAUUUGAAGAAAAAAAAAACUAGUAGCACUUGCUAAUAUGGGCAGAAUUCAAUUAAUAAAACACCACAUACUGUGGCUGGUUUGUUUCUAAAAUACACUUAUGUAAUUUAAAAGACAAAUGUGUUGUCUGUGGUGGUCAUUAUUUUAAAGACAGCAGGGUUUAUCCCUUACAUCCCAUUUUUUAAUCUGUGGUUUUAUUGACACUUUGAAAGCUAACAGCCUAGCAGGUUGUUCCUAGGUAGGAAUUCUACCCAAAAGAACAGUUUGUAGAACUGUACUCAUUUAACUGACAUUACAAAGUUGUCCUGCACAUGCAAAAAAAGAACUUUUCACAUGAUGUGAGAAAGACUCUACACCUGUGAUAACGAAGAACACUUCCCAUUAGCAAUGUAAGUAUGUAGAUUUGUCGUUACUUAUUCAGAAAUCAGCCUGCAGGCCCAAGAUGACCUGCUCUUCACCUCACCAAUCCCGCUCCUGCUGCAUCUCACAUGAGGUAGGUGCACUUCUAUUUCAACCCUAAAAGUGGGACUGUUCAUCUUUCUGAAUCAGCUACAUGGGCUGAGUCCUUCUCUUCCACUGCACCAAAUCCUUGCAGGGACGUGUUUUCAGGUGAGCUUUAUUAUUCAGUGUGCACCUUUAUAAGGUUCUGGAAGGCAAAGCUCUCAGGCCACCUUACUCGUUUUUGCAUAGUACCAAAGAGUGUUUUUUGAAAGCCUUUUAGGAUCAGCUUUUUUCUUGGAGUGGUGUCAAUCAUCAAGAAUUUUUAAAUAUUUUACCUAACCAACUACUACUUAUUCCUUUUGAAAGAAAAGCAAAUGAUUACAUGCAGCCCUGGCCAUUUUGCACUCACAUAUCCCUACCUUAUCUCUGCUCCAUAAAGCACCCAGAAGAUGUGUGUGGGCUCCGGUCUGCUCCUCACUUUCACUGCCCACUGAGGGACUUCAAGCAUGAAAGAGCUGUCCUGGUGCACACCCACCUCCGGACAUGGAGAGGAAAUCCCAAGUGAGUACUUUAGGAUAAGUACCCUGAGAUGGUCUUUGGUUGGCUUUGGUUUUCAUACAUUUGUGACAUGAAAUCACCUAAAAACGUAACUUUGCAGUUUAGAUAGAUCUUUGAUGGAAAAAAUGUUUCAGUUAACCUCAUGUAUAAUAAUGGGUAAUUACCUCAGUUCAUAUCUCCUGGAAAUCCCUUUUUAAUACUUUUUUUAUUAUUAUUAUUGUUUUGGGCUACAAAGCAAUUUGCAUGAUGUUUUUUCUCCUUCCCUAGCUAUCUCUCCCUCUCACCACUGCUCACCUUUAUAAACUGAUUUCUGCCUUCUUCCUGGGCUACAAAAUGACAGCGCUUACUAUCUGUCCAGUCGUCUGUUCCUGUUUAGCCAGUAAGUGGAACAUUUCCUAUGACUUUCUUCAGAUAAUGAUCCUCUUUUUCCACAUCUAGGGGGCCUCUAUUGUAUAUAAUCUCUGCAAGAUAAGAGCUUAAUAAAUAACUCUUUUUUAUAGUAUUUUUUUUUUAAUUCUGUACGUCUAGAACACCUGCUCUGCUGCUGCUUGUAGAUUUUUAGGUAAUUUGACUUUAAUUUUUAUAUAAAGAAGAGAUAUGAAACUUCCUCCUGACAUAAUUAGAAAACUAAAAUGUAAGUUUGCUCGCUGAAAACUAUAUCUUGGAGUUCUUUUGCAAUACAAGUUAAUUAACUGGAUUUAGAUAUUUGCAAGACGAUAUAUUUAAUGGGAUUACUGCUCAUAUAAUGUUCUCAGUGACUGAUUUGGAAUCUAAGCUCAGGGAACAGAAUACCGAAUUUCCAGCUCUUUGAGAGUUAAUGUUGUGUUAAGGAAAAGUACAAUUUGAACCUCAUUGUUCAUGAAUAGCGAAGUUAUUCCGGUGAAAUGGAGCCGGUGCCUACAAGGGCUACACGAGGCAGAUGCAUGAGCGGGAGCGCAGACAGCGUCAUUCCUGCGAGUGCUCGGCUACAGAUAUCCCCGCACCUGAACUCCUGGCAAGUUCAAGGCAAUUGCGUAUCUCAUCACAACAUAAUGGCCCUUUAUUCAGCCCCCGUCUCCCAAGUGGGAUCAAUUAGAUGCUUUGGUCUGCAGGCUUGAGAAUAAACAUUUGUGUUUUCGUUUAUAUUUAGAGUGAAAAUGAAGACGCGUGGCCACAGCCGUUCUGCCCGCAUCCGUCGUGUUUUGAAACAAAGGUUUAAUCAGCUCUUUCAAAAUAUUGAUUGCCUUUUUAAUAGGAAAAGGUAGAAAGUUAAAUGACAGCAAGCUCUGGGGAAAAAUGCAAUAGCCCUGCACAGAACAUUUCAGUGCGCCAAUAAAUCUCGCAUUAGCGUCUAUCUUCUCAUUAAGGCAAAUAUAUUUCUAUGUGUCAAUUUGGUUCACUACAAUGUUAGAGUUUCACUCCUAACACAGGAUUUCUCUAAUGAAUAUGGUAAUUUAAAUCUUAUGAUCAGAGUACUACUUUUAUAGAAAUUUGAACAUUUUUUGUUUAAAUGCUAUUAACCGUUUCAAUAUUAGCUCAGUCAAAUAGCUAUUAGAUGGGGAAAUUUAUAUUCUCACUAUAAGGAAUGGAUGUGUAAUUCUACAGUGCUUCUACAUUCUAACACUUUUUUAAAGUACUUGACAAGUAGAAUGGUGAUUCGUGUUUAACGUGUUCGAUUUUAAAAUUUAACCAGCAUUCCAAAGCUCUGGUGAGUUCAAAUGCCUUAACAUUUUUAUUUAUGAUUGUAAUUUUAUUUUUAAGCAUUGAUAAAGUGAAGUCUUAAAAAUCUAACUGGAUAAGAACAUUUAGAUGACAGUGGUUCACCAGGACACAAGUGGGAAAGGGAAAGAAAAUCCCAUGGAGAGAAGGAAACUCUUAUAUACCUGCAUGCAUCUUCCUAAGAUAUGACACAAAAUACUACUGAAGUGAUACUUGCCUUGUUUUGAUCUUGAUUUGGGGGGGAGGUUGUUUGGUUUUGAAUGACCUGUCAAACUGAGAGUUGUGCCAAGGCAACCUUGGCAUCUGAUGUUUUACAUGGCUGCUACGUUACAAGUAUUCCAUUCCAAGUAUUUUAGUCCUUGAAUAAAUUGCUCUUAUUAAGCUAAUUUUGGAUCCAUUCUGUUUAUGAAUGCAUAAAAAUAUUCCUGACUGUUUUCCAGGCUUUUCAAGACAACUAUGAGAUGUACCCUAUGAUGUGAGCAAUCACUAAACAGACUACAACAGAUUAAUAGUUCACAGAAACCUCUUAAAACAUCCUAAGCUCAUAAAUUUGUAAAGAGUUUGUGAUCUUGAGUUAUUAUAUUCUAUGAUUUUCCAUCAAAGGAAUUUGAAUCGUGCCUUUAUAUUCCUGUCCUGUAGCAAAAUAUGCUUGUUUCCAGCCAGGGCUUUCACUGAUGUAAACCCAGAUACUGGUGUUCCUGGAUUGAACAGCAAUGCAACCCUACGAGGGGGAAUUCCAUAGCUGAGAGAGAGCUUUUUUUUCUCAGUAUGUGUCAUGGAAAAGAAAAACACGAUCAUUUAACAACUUUCUUCCAAGCAUGAGCGCGUCUUUGAGCUUACAAAGUCAGGUUUUUGUGAUGAAGAGCUUUCAUUCAUAGGUAUUUCUUUAAAAAAAAAAAAAUACAACCAAUUGUGGAACUAGCAAGAUGAUGGUUAUGAGUGCACAGCAAUAUCCCAUGUCCAGGAACUGCAUCUGCAGCAUCAGAGUGCAGGAUGAAGAGCAUUUCAGGAAGGUAGGAUUCAAUGAACCCACGGCAGUUUGUCAGGAACUCUACAACAAGUAGUCCCAGUGCUUUUCUUUCAUAUUGAAUACAUGGAAUUAGUGCUCUUAGUGCACACAGAGAGCAGGAAGAUAACAAACUACUGCUUGGACAAAGCAGAUUUGACCUACAUAUAGGAGUGGACGCAGCCAAGGGUGGAGCUUCUGAUUGAAUGGUGUUAGCAUCAGUUGUGGUUGGGAAUUUUGCAAACAGUUACAACAGCAGUGAAGAACUUAUUACAAAUAAGUCCCGUAAGUCUGGAUAUUCUGCUGUUCACGAGGAAUAUAAAAUGAGUGCAGACUGGUGGAACUUAGAUGAAACCAUGCCUAAGACAUAAGAACACACCGUCUGUCAGAACGGAAGUACUUUACAAGUCAAGCGUUGCCAGCCAGAACAUCUGAAAAUGUUUUGACAGUAUCAGAAUGUAUCUUUUGGAAUGAACUGAUAAUGCUGUUUUGUCUUCCAAUCCAACUUUUUUUUUCUCUCAGCUUUCUGUUUUACUGAAAGAAUAAGUGGAACUGAAGCUAAGGGUGGCAGAACAUGUGUGUAAAUUAGAUUAAUUUUUCUCCUAGUUGCAGAAAGCAGAAUAGUUUCUAGUUUAUCUUGACAGAUGCAUUUCACAACUAUCUUCUAUCUUAUGCCUUCAAUCCAGAGAGAGGUGAGAAAAAUACAGUGCUGUCCUAUUGAAAAGGCAAUAUCUAAAACUACUCAGCAGUUUGUUGCUGCAUUAGUCCAAGAAUAAUUUAAUUCUGUACUAACAGCAAUUUAGAAAGCACGAAAAUGAAGCUAGAACAUUUCUAAACUAAUUGUUUGCUACACACGUUGAUUAACAGUGCUCUGCAGGAAUUAAUUGAUCCAAGGGCAGGAUCUGGCACUACGGCAGCAACGCUCUUCUUGCAGUGCUCAUAUGAGGUGACUGCACUCACAGCUCCUCAGACUGUGCUACGAAUUGUUUUUCAAACACAUCAUCUGUCCUUGCAGAGAGCCGCUGGAGAUCCUCAGACCAGGCCUGAGCACAGCUAGGUAUUGGCUGUUUCAAUUACAGCUCAAAUACAUCACGCAGAUGGAGGAGUGCACUGGGCAUGCAUUUGGCAUCCCAGGGCAGAUGGCUUUUCCCAAAAUGAGAGCCUGUGGAAAGCUGUUUUCAUCUUCCCAAGCUUCUGGCCUGAUGGACUUCAGCACAAAUGCGUUUCCAAAUAAUGAAUCUGCAGUUCACUUUCUGGCCGAGGUGAACGAGCACACGUUAACUCAUUCAGAAAGGAGAUGAAAAGCUCACAUUCAGGAUGCAUUAAUCUGAAAACAAGUGUACUUUUGUGUCUGGGGAGUAUUAUUUUCAUUGCCAUCAAUUUAGAACAUAGAUAGACUGUGAUUCUAGCUUCACUAUCAGGUUGCCCCACAGGCUGAGACCCCUCACCAGGCCAUUCUAUUUAAUUUAGACUAAUCUAAAGCUGAGUGAAACUUUGUACCCUCUCUGAUUUCUCCCUAUAAUCAGGAACACUCUGAUUUCCCCUUCCCCCAUGACCCAGUCUGAGUGGCUGGGAGAUGGGGGAGAGGUACUCAGGAAAGCGACCUCCAGGUAAAGGCAGCAGCUAUUUGUGCCAGCCUGUCUGCUUGCCUAAUAACAGGUGGCAAACAUGUCCAACCAUAUCAUCCCUAGCUCUUGUUCUGUUUGAAUUUCUCUUUACUUUACACACAAUUCUUGGGAAGGCGUAAUCCUUUACACUUUUGCAUGUGAGUUUUUCAAGGCAUUGCACAUGUCAGCGGAGAUAAAUCUCCCAUGGAAGAGGCUGAAAUCCUAAUGCUGUUCUUCCACCAUUAUGCUCCUAGGUUUGGGUGGAAUUUGAUGGGGCAGAGGUUGUGCCCUAUAGUUUUAAUGUUGGGGUGUUUUUGGUCAGUGUUGUUUUGUCUGUGUUUAGAGGCAUCAAUAUGCACAAGAGAAUCUGUUUUGGACAGUAUCCAAGGUCAAAAAGAAUUCAGCAGCUUUGGCAAAAUGUUCCCUUCUGUCUGUGGUUUACAGAUUCAUCCAUAUGUGAGAUCUUAAAGAAGUAUCUUUCACUCUCUGUUGCUAUCAUCUCUGAUAAUUAGACUUGGCUUUGCUGCUUUCUCUCUCUCCCCGUCUUUCUUUUGUUUUAAACACCACAUGACUGCUUUCAGUGGAUAAGGCAAGUGGAGAAGAAAAGGAUCCAGUAGUGGCCCUCAACUGGCAGGCACUCAGCAAGCAAAUCAGCAGGUUCCCCUGCUAAAGAACCAUGCUGACAUCUAGUUAAUGUUCUUAUUUGCUAAAGUAAUGAGACUCAACCUGCCUGUGACUCUCAAUCUUUUACAAACCAAAAUUUGUAGUCUUUGCUCAUAGGCAAGAAAAAAAAAUGAUCUGCAGUAGCCCCAAGUUUAAAUCAGCAAAUUUGUUUCGUAAACAGCAGAAGUACCCGGGGUGCAGUUCUCCGGGGGGAGCUCAGGUGCGAUGGGCUCUUCCAGUCCUCUCCUCUUCUGGCAGUUGUUAAGUUUGUCGCAUACCUAAAUAUGCCAAGUGUAACCCACAGCAGGAGGGGGUUGUCAGAGGACAAAUAUAAUUUUUAUUCUCCUCUCUGAUGUAACUGUGGGUCAGUCAUCUCGUGGUCCUCACAGAUGAUUGGUUCACUGGUAUUAUUUAUCUCAUUUUGGUCCAACAACAGAGACCAUAGACACUCAUAACUUCCCCUUGAAGCAACCAUUCUACUAAUUAAAAUGAAAAGCGCCUGAUUCUGUUUCUCCUAAAAAUAUAAUUCUUUUUCUGAUUAGAGAUGCAAUUUAAAAAAAAAAAAAAAAAAGGCAAAAAUGGGUAUCUUAUUUUUGUCUGUUGGCUCACAAAACCUGCAUGAACACGAGUUUUAUGUGUGUGAAACUGCCAAAUUGGAGCCAGGGUAGAAACUCUCAAGGGUCUGAAUGUUGAGCAAAAGAGAUAGAUGAAACAGCUGAGUUACUGAACUGAGAAACAUAUGUGCUGUACUUACACAUUUACCAGCGCUCUAAAGAUUUUCUGAUAUGUGGCUGCUCUCUUGAAAAUUAUUUACAUGGCAUUCUGGAGUUGUUCCCACAGAUAUGAUUCCAUUUUGAUCUGCCAAUUACAUUAUGUGCUGUUGCAAAGAAGUUUGUAAAUGAGUCUUUGUUCCUUAGAUGGAAAGCGUUUUGAAGGAGUUCUACCAGCCUGAUGGUAAAUCAUGAACGUCAAAAAUGAGGCUGUCUAAAAAUACAUUAGAGGUUGAUGUAAACAUUGCUGGUAUCAGAGGAGAUGGUUCCCAUCAACUUUUGGGAAUGCUGAAUCUGAUGUCCCUUUACAUACACCAAGUUGCUCAGGACAGACCUCCUCCUUCAUGAUGCCCAUGGAAAUCACUGCAGAUUUGACAGCUCUGGCUCCUGGUAACUCCUGUGGGCUCCUCGAGUCCAUAGCAAGGACAGCUGCCCAAAGCCAAGGUUCACCCUCAUGGGAGGUGGGUACAGAAAAAAAGUCUGCUGUUCAGCUGGACCAGGAAGAGAAGUGGAGAAGUUUUCAGUGGCAUUUUCAGAGGUGUUUCACAGCCAGGAGUGUUACAGGAGUGGAAGACCUUGUGCUUUUGAUAAGUCUGUGCCACAGUGGGAUUCUGGCAUCCCUUAGAUGAGACAAGCUUCGAAGGACAUUGCUAACCUCCAUUAGAAGUGUUUAAUUCGUUCCCCCAUUACCUUCCAAAAAGAAUACUACAUAUGGAAGAUGAUGUUCCACUUUCUAAAAGGUGCUUGGUUGGGUGUCAUUGUUUAUAUAAAAACUGUUACACCUGGAAAGGAAGGUAUCUGUACUUUGAAUCUUAUGCAUUCCCUUUGUCUUGAUGGUCCUUCCAGAGGCAAGCUCUAUAUGGAGUGGGAGUGUCGAUAACCUCAUCCUGCAACUUUCCAUGCCUCUCAGACACACUGGGCUUCUCCUGCCUCCCUGCAGGUCAAGACCAUGAAUUUUACUUGAUACUCUCUUUGAGAGGAGUUAAGAAAAGAGAAAUCUGAUGGACUUGGAGAAACUUAUCUAUAAUAAUAUUCAGAUUAGGAGUUUUAUAAGGACUAAUGGCUUUUUGCCUAGAAAUAAAUAGCUGAUGUAGUCCAAACAGGACUUUUCCCUAGGAAAAAAAGAACAGGAGCAAAUGGAUGCGGAGGAGAUGGUAAAGAAAAAAAAAAAAGAAAUCCAAUUCUUUUUGAUUUUUUUUCAGAGUCAGGUUGUACAACUUUGGGUUUUCUUCAUAGAGGAGAGGGAGAAAGUAAAAAAACAACACAAAAAAAUGGUGCUACCUGAAAUGAUCAUGAUAGCAAUUAUGCAAUUUUAACGUUAUGCAUCUAUCAACACUAAGGACAUGUCUUUCAGGAGAAAGGACUUGAUUAGGUAUAUUUUGAAUAUAAUUUGUGUUAUAUGAAAAUGUUCAGCUGUACUAAGUUCCAUAUUGACAUAUCCUCUUAAAAAUAUUUUGGUUAUUAUGCAGCAUAGUUUACACCUAGACUAAGUGACUUAUACUUCCACAGUCACUUUCUGAAUUUUCAUACUAAAGAAUACAUGUCUGAGCAGCUUCUCUGUGAACUAAUGAGGAGCUAGAGGUGUCUGAUAAUGGUAGCAAAAGCAGCUAUGUGAGGAAAGAGGUGGUUAAAAGAAAACACAGAGGUGAGAGCUUCCACAGUUGUAGUGCAAACAGUAGACUGAAGGCCCAACAGAACAGAAAAGGUGGAAAUGAUCUUUGGUGACAAAUUCUAACUUGUAAAAGUGCCAGAUUGCCACAUAAGCCAAAGUGAAUUUAGGGCAACAAUAGCUCCACUAGGUUUGGUGUCAGACCAGCCUGUGUGAGGGAGAAGAGUGCUGGAAUCCUGGCAUCUCCCAGAGGUGUUAGAAAAGGGAAACAAUUUGUAUAAAUACAGGAAUUCAACACCAGAAACAAAAUACUGAACUAAUCAGUGAAAUGAGCAUUGAAAUCAGUCUUCAUGCUAAAGCUGGAAGGUUCUGACAUAUCAAAUAGAGCAAGAAUAUCUUCAGGAAUAUGCCAGAAGCUAAUUGGUUUAAGAAAUCUGGCUGUAUAUAGAGACCAUUACUCAUAGAUAUCACGUUUUUCUGUUGCACAAAUUAUCUACAGUGCUCGUGGUGUCUGCUCAAGGAAAAGUUUAUUUUCCUUCAGUCUUUUCUUUUCCCCUGACCUCAAAGGACUAAUUAACAAAGUAUUAGCAUGUUUCUAAAAUAUGACUGAAUUCAUCCUCUUAAGAAAAUGUACUGAAGAAUGUACCCUAUUAUUAGAAAUGACAGGAUGUAUAUAGGGCCAUAUGUUUUCAAAGGGUUUUCUGUCAGUGUUAAUCAAAACUUUGGAGAACUUAUGAACAUACAGAGCAGCACGUCAACCAUAUGGAUAAUAUCUUCUCUUUAAUAGUGAGAAUUUGAAUUAAUAAUAAACAUUGGAGAGUAACCUAGAAUGAGACAGAAACAAUAAUAUUAAGACCAGAACAAGCAGAAUAUCAUAUCAGUCUGAAGACUCCUGAGUAUUUAAAAAAAUCUUAUUGUGCAUUAAAUACUGAUCAUGGAACUACAUUCAUUAAUUUUUGGUAAUUUAGCAUGGAAAGGUAACUCCAAAAAUGCCAUUUAGAUUUGCUGUUUUUUUGUAAAGGACAGAAUUUGCCUCUUACAGCACGCUCUAGUAAACAUCAGUGUCGCACGCUGGUCUGAGUGGUAGAGGUACGUCCAUUGUUGCAGUCUACUUGUUACUGUAAAGGCAUUAGAAUAUUUGUUUGAUGAAACAUGCAUGCACAAAUCAUUUCACGGACUGUGCAAGCAGAUGCAGGAAGAAAGUGGAACCUGUUCCUGAGUUGGCUAACCUGAAAAAUGAUUGAGACUCCAUUAUUUUGAAUAACCCUCCAAGGACUUAACAUCAUGGACCUACCUGUUUUUACAGAUGGCGACUCUCUAAACUAAAUAUUAGGUUUUAUUUUCGCUGUUACCAGCCUGGCUUUAUUUUCUCCUUAGUUAAAAACAAAGUUACAUUUAGAAGUUUGACUGCUCACAUUGAGACCUACAGCCUUCAUCUGCUGGUAAGCACAAUCCAGCCUUUGCAAGGUGAAAAACCAAAUCUUCUACCAGAGACCACAAGAAGAGGAAAUACAACAUUCAGUCUUUGAAGCUAUAAGUUGAGACCUCCCUAUUAUGUAGUGAUAGAUUUUAUUGGUAACUAUCCAUCUGCAUCAGUUACCCAGCCUAGGAGAGAUAUAUUUUCCUUGAAAUUUCUAUUUUAUUUUUCCCUUGAGUCCAUUCUGAUUUUCAGAUUUCCUCUUCUGAUGCUGGUUGAGAAGUGUGUAACUAUGGACAGCACCUUCGGACUGUGAAGUGGUUCUUGCACCUGCUCUUUUCUUUGUUUUUGGAGUAGCCACGGGGGACCAAGGAGCAGAGCUCUUCCCUCCGUUCCCUCUGUGUUAUUCCAUCAUCUCCUGUAAUUUUGCUGUCAGCAUUUGUUCUGCCACACAACAGCCUGUGACUGUCCUGCAGACCUCAGGGGAGCAUCCCUGGUAGGAAUCAGUAUCCACCUGCAAUAUAUUGGUAGAAGAUGUGUAACAACUUUAAUUUAAUUUAAUCUAAUCUUUUCCCAUCAAAAGAGACAUUUUGUUUUAAAUGAAGCUCAACUACCAGGAAAUCUGCACAGUGGUUCUGUCAAGGGUUAUGGCUUCUCUCUUUCUGGACGAGACACAUUUCCCAGUUCCUUCAGAUUACUCUAGCACGUUCACUGCUAAAUGCACAUUUGUAGACCUUUCUUACACCUUACCUUUUACUUCUGCUCUGCAAUCUCUGCGGAGGAGCCUCAGAGCUGGCAUGUAGCUCCCUCGAGGGAGGGAUGAAGGGGCCUUCUGUUGUGCAGAUGUUGGCCGCAAGAGUGCUCUUACCUCCAUAUCAAAAGAGGAGGUGUUCAAACCCAAACAAAUAGUAUAACUGCUAGUCAAAAGAGAAAAGGGGCAAAAAACAUGCUUGUUAAAGCUUCCAGGUACCCUGGCAAUUAGUGUAACCACGGCAUAAUCCUGAUGAGCUCUCACAUCUCCUGUUACGCUCAGUACGCAGUGUUUGUUAGCAUUUGCUCCAUCUGCUCCUAUAGAGUCUCCAUCAGCUGACAGAGGGUACGGUUACUGCAGCCAUUAAAUGUUGAUGAUCCUCAGAGGGUCCCAGUUGCUUGUGGCAGGUAUCCAUUAUGUUAACUGUCCCUCCCCCCACACUCGGCCAUAAUGCUUUUUCACCCAUGCGUUUACUAACAGCAAAAUUAUGGCUUUUUUGAUUAAGAUGCUAACAUCAGCAUGACUUUUAGGCACAGUAAGUUACAUUGGUUAGUCUUUGCUUGCCUGAAUUGAAUGAACGAUAUCUUUUUUUCUCCUAGUAUGAUAUUCAAAGUUGCAAAUGCACUAACUUCUAGGAUACACGAUCCCUCAAUAGAAAGGACAUCUCUUCUUGUCAAACCAAACCUACUCUUAUUCUCCUAAAAUGAAAUAAUAUGCUUUCCCUUUCCUUAAAGCCACUCACUGAUAGAUUUAAGUGGAUAAAUAUAUUCAACAGCCUUUGCCUUUCCAUUUCUCUUUUGCUAGCAAUGCCAAACAGACUGUGAAAAAGAGAAUUAAUUCAUUAUCCCAGGAUAUUCAUGAAGUUCUCUAGGCUUCUGAUUCUUGGACUGCAGGUCAUUAGCAAUCAUUAAUUUUUAAAGCUACUGGUGACAUCCUCUGAAGCAGAUAUCAUUGAAAUAAACCGGGUCUAUUAAUGUGGUAGUAGGGUGAAGCUUGGGAAGGUGUAAGUGUACGGAAAAGCUGAAUUUUAGCUCUGCAAAGAUCUUUAACGUAAACUGAGACAGUGCUGGGUAGGUAUACUACCAUAUGGCACAACAGAGGGCACGAGAGUUAAAGCUGUGGGCUCUGAAAUACAACAGGAUGAUCUUUUGCAUCUUGCUCCUGCACUCCUGGCAGUUACGAAGCGAUAGUUACCUUUUAUGUAGCUUUUGCCACAGAGCAGUGGUGGUCAGAGCCUACAGCUGUCUGCAAGAGGUCCUGCAGGCACGUUUGUGCCUAAAAUCCUUUCUUUAUGUUCAAAUGUACAACAUGUUGUGGUUUUCCUUUUUCCUUCCUAACAAAUACGCAUCCCUCCCCAUUUAAAAGUUAAACAUGCCUAGACUACCCCAGAAAUGACUUUCCUUUUGAUGUGGCCAUGGAAUGAUUAACCCAUACACUACUCCUAACCUGAGAAAAGAUAUGAGAGCACAGGAUGGCUGUGUUAAUACUCAAGCCAUAUGUCCUCCCAGAAGUACAGUACGAUGUUGAUCGCGACCUCAGAAGAAAGCAGGCCUGCUUAUGGCAAAUAUAUGGAAUUGAUUAAAUGAAUAAAUAACCCUAUAAUUUAGUUUUGCAUAAAAAUAUGUGGGACCCAGGUCAAAGAUAAUCCCUAAUUUUUCUAUGCAUAAUAGAUUCCAAAGUGUAAACAUUACCAGUAGCAUGAACCAGACUAGAUGCUCUAUGUCAACAGUCAAAGGUGCGAGUGUAAACUCAGAAAUAUUGAUAAUGUUUGUGAAUAACUUCAGACUAAAUUAUGCUGAAGUCCCCAGGCUGCUAUGAGUGCCUCUGUUGUUUUAACACUCCGCUCUCUGCUAUGAGUUCAAAGACUGACCACACUUCUUGCAUGGUCAGUGUCGCAUUUGAUGUAUAUAAGAUUAAUUUCAGAGCUUAUGCUUCUGUGUCAGAAUAGCAAAAAUGUACUUCCUGAAAGGGCCCAGAGCAAGGCUGGAAGAAGCAGGGCACAGAAGGUUAAAGUGCCUUUGUGACUGGCCUCAUCAGACAACUCAGGUCAGGCAGAGUGAUGUUCUGCCCUGUAUGCCUCGUGCUGCAUUUGCCUGUCUUCUGCUUCACGUGUCACAGGCUGAAUGAGGAACAAAAGCUGUGGGCUGUGGGACAGGGCUCAGCUCCUGGGGAACUGACACAGAGCUUUGAUUUUGCUCUGAAGCCACAAAGAGUUCUUCAGCUGAAUUCUCCGCUUCUCAGAUUAGCUAUGAGCAUAAUAGGUGUGAGAACAGCAGAGCACCUACAAAUUAUUCUGCUUUGAAGGAAUGGCAGAUUUUGCUACUAAGCAGCCCAUGCUGCAAAUGGCCUUCAUGCCAGGACCCAUUGUGUUCUGAUGAAUCUGAGACACAAAUCCAAACUUCCCAGCUGCUUCCUAUAUGCAGCAGGAUCCCAAACUCAGCCCCCACAAUGAAAUGUUGCGUUUGAUGAAGUUCAGACUUGAGUUCUGAACUGAGCAGCUCUUUGCAGUUGGAUCUUUUAUCUGCUGAGUACACGGAGGGGGAAAAGAGAGCAGCGCAUCUGGCAGUGCACUGAAAGCAGACCUUAUCUAAUAGCAUACAGCCUUGUGAUUCACGUGUGUGCAGAAUGCAACCCAGUGUGCCUGAAAUGUGGGGGGAAUCCGAACUCUGCUGAAAGUAGUGGGAGCUUCUCCAUUGACAUCAGCUCCAUAAUAAGGCUCUGAUCUUGCAUCUCUGACUGCAACAGCAGAAGACAGCAGAGGUCAAGGACAUCGCUCAUGCUUACAGCAGAAGCCCAACUAAUAGGCACAACAGGAUGUAAAGUGAUGCCUAACUGAGGUGGAGGGAAACAGGACCAGCUCCACCCCCCCAUUAAAUCUGGAUAUAAGUAACGUCAAGGAGUUGCUACAUCUCAAAAGUUCUUCCUAGCAAAUAAUAACGAGCUUUGCAAUUGAGAUUCAAGACUUUGCAUUGGAUGACAAACAGCCAUUUUGGUUAUUUAGCAGCGUCUUCAAAUGCAGUAUUUAAAUGUGAUUUCAUUUCUGUCUCUCUUUAAGGUGACUUCAGGCAAUGUUUUUUUAAACUAUAGUGUAAUACAUGAAAUACAAUAACUAUUUCCAGUAAAGACUUAAGUGUUUUUAUGUUAUGCAGUUCUGUAAUUAACAUUGUUGUCCUGUAUGCUGUAGGUACCCACAGCUUUUUUCCCGUCUGCUGGCAAAUUAUAGCAUGGUGCUUGCUCUGAAAAGUUAUAUGACUGGGAUUAUACAUUUACAGUUCCCCAAGCUGUACACCGUGUGAUUAAUAGAAUUAUUUACUUAUUUAUUAUGAUGAAAUGCACUGCAAUAUGUUUGCAAGACGGACCAGAUCCAAAACCCACUGAAGACGCCCAUGAGCCCUGAGGAAUCACAUUGCCUUGCAGCCACUGUACAGCCAUGAAAACCAGCUGAAAACAAAACCGAGCCUCUUCGGAGAAAGCCCCACAAGUGACCUCUUCAGCAAAGUGGACAAAGAUUUACAUUGGCUUCUCUUCUCCCCGGCUAUCACUUACACUACAUGCACACUGUUGUUCCUCCUGCCUGUGCCAUUGUACUUCCCUUCUAACCUGUUUUCAACCUGCAAAGGCUUUUGCAAGGAAGUCAGCACGCAGCAAUGGUGUGAGCUUACAGCACGUUGGCUGCUUUGUGCUAAUUUCCCAUUAGUGCACAUAGGCGGUAGUUUCGAAGAUAGGUGCGGUGCCUUGUAUGUCAGUGGGUGUUCUAAGGUCUGCAGCUGGGCAGAUGGAUCAGUACUGCCUGACAUAUCAGCUUAUAGUGCAAGGAGACCGUUACUUCAAAUGAAUUUGCUAUGGGACCGUAAAAAGCCUCUGUUAUGAAUAGUCUUCUACAGACAGGAUGAUGUAACAUCCAGUAUAAGGCACCAUAACUGUGUUGUUUACAUUUUUGGUGUGCUGUCCCAUAUAUAAAUCCCCAGUGCUCCAAAAAACAAUGCAUUAAAAGUUAAGGAUGAAUCCAAUCAAUAACCUACUGCGUUAUUCAUGGGUUCAGCGAUGCAGAGUUAAUCCUUUGGGACAAUGACAUUAGGACAUUUGAACAAAACGUACAGCACCCUGCCUAACACCCAGUCUGCACGGAGGAUAAAACCCACUGCUACAACCUUCAUCUUCUCCCUCCAGGGAUAGAGACGUUCCUGCUCAGCACUGGAACUUCUGGAGAUGAUAAACACAAGCAACUCAUCCCCAGCUCCAUCCUGAGCACCUUCAGCAUUGCCACUCAGCACCUCAAAAUUGUGUGCGUCCAAUGCCAACUGCCCACCAUGGCAAAGGAACAAGACAUUUGCUCCAAGUUUCAGUGUUAAUAAAGAAGGUGAAUCUUUCACACCAGUGGUUGCAGAUGUCAUGCACUUGCCUCCUGCUAUUUGGAUCCACUGUGCUGCAGAGAGUGAACCAGGCAAACCCACCUGUAGAGGAGGGCAGGGAAAGUGAAAUCCCGAGCACCAAGCAGAGUCUUGCUGGAGACCACCGAGGAGACACAGCAUCAGCAAUUGCUGACAAAGCCCAUUGCACCAUCAGAACCAAGCCAAGGAUGAAAGAACGUGACACCAAUCUGUAUUUCCAGCAACCUUUGUUGGAAAGGUGGUCUGCGCUCAUGAAUACUGUUGUUAUACCUACAGCCCCCAAAGAGCAACCUACUUGAGCUGUGACAGAGCUGCUCAUAUAACCAAGGGUAUAUGGUUAUGUAGCCUGUCUGGGGAUGUAAGCACAUUUACCUGUAGACUAAAGGAGAUGACCGAAUCCUUGUAAAUGAGCACAAAACAUCGCGAUGCCUAUGCCUUCAAACACCAAAGGAUGAGCAUGAACAGUGUCUCUAGAGCCACUCCAGACUCUAGACACUCAGCACUAGGUGUCCUGUGCUGAGAUACGACUACUGCUACUGACCACAGCUCACGUGCACGUGUCACAGGACCAGUCAAGGUCGUAAACUUAAGCAUAUUUAUAUCUCUUGGUAGGAACAGAGCUGUAAUUAUAUUUUGGGUGUUUCUUGCCUUCUUCAAUUGCUGCCAGUGCUGCUUGUUUGCUACAGCGUAACCCGUGGCAUAUUUUAUAGGUUUUCAACCUUUGCACACAAUGGAUUAGAAAGAAAGUCAAUUAUGCAUAAGAUUGAAAGAGUUAUGUAAAUAUAAAACCAAUAUAAUGUAUUAUUUACAUACAGCCUGUACUUACCCUAAGUAACUUCUGCAGAAACCUGGGCUAUCACAAACAGCUCACACCUAAUUUCUGAGCCCUAUUCCAGAAAAGAGGGGAGGAUUCUGGCUACCUUAAAUCAGUGCUAAUAUUUUCUAGAUGAGAGCAUAUUUGUAUAAGAACAUAACUCAACAUAACACGGAUGGACAACAAGCAGGAUAAAUCUCUAUCAUUUAUUACAUUUGCUGAGCGAUCAAAGGUGUCUAACUAGACAUUUUUCCUCAUUGGUUGUUUGCAUUAGAUAUGCAAAUCUCCUUUCUUGCAGAGCCAUUUCUGAAUAUAUUUGCGAGGCUAUUGAUGUCCAUUACUUCACUUAAAUAUAGAUCAGAAAUACUGACAAAUAUUUUCAUUCAAAGAGUUUGAUCAUUUUCAGAUUACUCUCCAUGCUAGUAAUUAACCUCAGUCAACACCCUUCCAUAGCACUUUCAAACACAGUUCCUAGCAAACAUAAAGUUUCAUAAAUAUGUACUAAAUAACCUUAAAGCCCUUUAUGAAUAAUUAUGAGUUUUUAAGUUUUUGUGAAUCUGCAUAUUAAUUCCACGCCAUAAAUAAUACAUGAAGCAAAAAUCCAGCUUGUUUGGUGUCUGGGGACAGAGAAAGAAAAGGAGGGGAUAAUUAUCAGUUUAAUGUGGGAAAAUACUUAACCUAAAAGAUUAUCUUCAAAACUGAUGACUCUAUAGGUUUGUAUAUACGUGUGUGUAUAAAUACAUAUAAGUAUAUAAAAUAUACGUGUAUGAAGAUAGGUUUGUCUGCAGAUACGCAUCCAGCCUGAGAAAGCCUUAAUUUGAGGCAUGUUACAUUCCUGUCUCCUCUGUGCCAUGCUGAGCUCUUCAAGUGCAAAGUGAUGCGAUGAGCUCAGCCUCCACACAACCCUUCUUUCUAUAAACGUAUGUUCCCCCAAAGGUAGAAAAUUAAUGAGAGGCUGCUGACUAAAAUUACUACAUUUUGCCUUCUGUGGGACAUUAUGGAUUUAAAAGAUAAGCAAGAGUGCAGCAAGUCCAAAAACAAUUUCAUUUCGUUAAUCCUUUAAGUGCCUCGGGAUGAGCAGCCCAUGUCCAGCAAAGGUGAUGCUUCUGCAUGCCUAUUGCACAGCAGUACUUGCACACUCUGCUUCUCGGCUCCACAUGGAAGGCAUCCAGUGGGGUGGGAUGAUGUAUGGCUGAAUGGUCUUAGGCUGACACUUCCUGGAUGCUCGCUGACAGUAAUAGGAAACGUAAGCGGUGUGCAGAGACAGCUCGUAGGUAAAGCAGGGAGUGUGAAUAGGAUUUUUCCUCUUUAUUCCGUACAGCUUACAGCAAAGAAAAGGCAUUUUCUGCUCAAAUGUCUUUGAACAAAACAAAGUGGAAACUAUUAUGUUUCAAAACCAGGACCCGGGAACAUAUUCCAUGUUUGCCUUUGUCAAAGGAGUACAACGAUUUAUAGUUUGGGAAGAAAAUCAUUGCAUUCCAAUUUUAUAUUUUUCAAUAAGUGACUCCAUUUAUUUUUUACAUAUUAAUCCACCUCCAUAAUGAAAAUAGAUUUCACUUCUCAUUUCAAGUCCUUCAGAUCUAUUUCACUUCCCGGUCAUGCUCAGCGCUUGGCUAGGAGAAUGAAAGGCAGUAUUUCAAAUAAUAGCAACUCAAUAGCAAGCCUGUUCUCUUGGUUUUAAUGCAGAAAGAAGAAAAGAUAAACCAAAUUUGUACAAGAAUCUUCAGAGAUAGGAGCACUCCCUUGUUCUGACGCCAUUUCCCAGCCCUGCAGCAUCAGGAGAGCAGUGCUGUUGGUGCGGGGGUGCUGCCGGGAGCAGGGUGAGGGGCUGGGGAUAGGAUCCCACAGAAGCGACUGAAUCCAAAGCUCAACUUAAGACUGCUCAGAAAGAUUCCAGGAGGGGGUGAGGGGCUGCUGGAGGUGCCGGCAGCACUGUCUCGUCACGGCAGCCUGCUAAUUAACCGUGAUGGGUUUUAAAGCCUCAGCUGGAAGCAGCUUCUGGAGAAACGGAUGGAGCACCCAGGUUUGUUUUGUAUCCAAAAAGGGGGACACAGAGUUGAAAAGAAUUGUUGUAAAGGCCUGCAUCAGUGUUAUUCUGCAUCCGUCUGCUUUGCGUACCGUUUGCUAGGAAUUUAUAAAGUAACAUACAUUCAGUAUGAAGGAAAAAAAAAAAACAAACAACAGAUCUUUAAAAUAUUGAACUGUGGCUGCUGUGCCUCGUGGAAAGGUACAGGCUUCUCGUCCGGGAGUUGCAUUGUGUGGAUGCAAACCUGUUGAUGAGUGGUUUAAGCUAAUUCUCAUUUAUACUGGACUCAUAAAUCCAUAAACUUUGGUAAGAACUCAGCUGCAGCCGAUGUUAUUGGUUGAACUGUUUUCAUCUGAAGCCCAUUCUGAAUCCCCAACAAAAAUAGUAGGCCAGAUGCCCAGACAGCAGCUAGAGACCCUCAUUAGGCAUCAUUUGCAUCCUAUUAACCACUGAGCUGUGGGUCAUUCGCUGCCUGUCAACCAUUCAAGUCAUUCCUUUUGUGUUAAUUAGUAGAGAAAUAAGGAGUUAAUGAAGAUCUUAUGAUCUGUGAUGAUUCAUCUUUGUUGUUUCAAACGAAUCCCUGCUCUCCGAGCACCCCAAUGAGCUCCUGCACACCGAAUAAUAGAGGAAUAGUGGAGGGAGCUUAGGGCGGCCUUUGGAGUGCCAUUCUCUGGGGACCUUUUGCAUGGUGGGCUUUGUUAGCUAAAGAUUAGAAGGAGUUAAUUGCUUCAAGAUUGCUCGCAGAUUAGGUUACAUGGUGUGUUGUAUCUAUGUAAGCAUAUGUCAGGUCUAGUUAAAAGAUAGAAGAUGCUUAUUUUAAUAAAAUUAUGAAAGGAAGAAUUAAUUUGUCAUUAUUGUAGAAAUCUUAUUUCUACCCUUAAUUUGAGCACUUUCAGAUAAAUGCAGGGCUGGUUUCCGUCUCAUUUUCCUGCUCCAAAUGGGAGGGUCCCAGUUUUCCUGCCCAUUCUGGGGACAGCACAGCAUGGCUGUGGAAAGACACAGAUGGAAAACCCAAAUCAACAGACAAGCAGUAAGAGCAGCUCUUCUUCUUUAGGAAUUUUCUUUAGGAAGAAAUGAUUCCUCUUUCCACGCUAGUUCUGGUGAACACAUUCUCACAUCCAGCAAGCUGACAACAAAGUUCCACAACAGGGGUGAUGAAAUGCACAGACCUUCAUGGCCUGGCUAUAUAAGAAGACACCAGAAGUGAAAUAUACUUGGCUGUAGACCAUAGUAGGUUGAGAAGGAGCACCUUCUUGCUGUAGAGGGUUGCUGCUCUUCUUACCAUGGUGGCAAUAACCUCCAGAGAGCUGAGCUCCAGCAGUUGGCCUACUGAGGAGAGUCUGUGUAACCACUGCUCCUCCUCCACCUCCUCGCUGGAUUUAUGAAUGGCGCCAAGUUCUCCUGAGAAGCCAACGCCUUCCUUUUAUUAAAAGUAAAGAAACAAAAGAAUCUCCAAACUGAAAUUAAUUAUUCAGAUUUGCCAAAUAUUGGGAAGGUUUUUUAUUUAGACUUUUUUUUUUCUUCUGCCUGUACAUCUAUCGGAUGGAAAAUUAAAAAAAAAUUAAUUAUUCAGCUCUGUACUGAAGUGUCAGUGAAUGCUGAGGU